rnacentral:rRNA from 1 species
UACGUAGGGUGCAAGCGUUAAUCGGAAUUACUGGGCGUAAAGCGUGCGCAGGCGGUUAUAUAAGACAGAUGUGAAAUCCCCGGGCUUAACCUGGGAACUGCAUUGGUGACUGCACGGCUAGAGUGUGACAGAGGGGGGUAGAAUUCCACGUGUAGCAGUGAAAUGCGUAGAGAUGUGGAGGAAUACCGAUGGCGAAGGCAGCCCCCUGGGAUAACACUGACGCUCAUGCACGAAAGCGUGGGGAGCAAACAGG